GACGAACGCUGGCGGCGUGCUUAACACAUGCAAGUCGAACGGUGAAGCGCCUUCCUUUUUGGUUGGUGUGGAUGAGUGGCGAACGGGUGAGUAACACGUGAGUAACCUGCCCCCUUCUUCUGGAUAACCGCAUGAAAGUGUGGCUAAUACGGGAUAUUCUGGGUCUGUCGCAUGAUGGGUCUGGGAAAGAUAUUGUUUCGGGGGGGGAUGGGCUCGCGGCCUAUCAGCGUGUUGGUGGGGUGAUGGCCUACCAAGGCGGGGACGGGUAGCCGGCCUGAGAGGGUGGACGGCCAGACUGGGAGUGAGACACGGUCGAGACUCCGACGGGGGCCAGAAGUGGGGAAUAUUGCACAAUGGGGGCAAGUCUGCUGCAGCGACGCGGCGUGAGGGAUGGCGGCCUUCGGGUUGUGAACCUCUUUCGCCAGUGAAGCAGGCCUGCCUCUUUUGUGGGUGGGUUGACGGUAGCUGGAUAAGAAGCGCCGGCUAACUACGUG
rnacentral:rRNA from 1 species